GAUGAACGCUGGCGGCGUGCUUAACACAUGCAAGUCGAACGAAGCACUUUAUUUGAUUUCCUUCGGGACUGAUUAUUUUGUGACUGAGUGGCGGACGGGUGAGUAACGCGUGGGUAACCUGCCUUGUACAGGGGGAUAACAGUUGGAAACUGCUGCUAAUACCGCAUAAGCGCACGGCAUCGCAUGAUGCAGUGUGAAAAACUCCGGUGGUAUAAGAUGGACCCGCGUUGGAUUAGCUAGUUGGUGAGGUAACGGCCCACCAAGGCGACGAUCCAUAGCCGGCCUGAGAGGGUGGCCGGCCACUGUGGGACUGAGACACGGCCCGAACUACUACGGGAGGCAGCAGUGGGGAAUAUUGCACAAUGGGCGAAAGCCUGAUGCAGCGAGGCCGCGUGAGCGAAGAAGUAUUUCGGUAUGUAAAGCUCUAUCAGCAGGGAAGAUAAUGACGGUACCUGACGAAGAAGCACCGGCUAAAUACGUG
rnacentral:rRNA from 1 species